CUCAAGUCAUAAUGCAGGGAAUGAUCUUGCAAUGUUUUUCACUUGUAGAAAUAAUGUAGGGCUAGGCCAUUAUUGUUUUUAUUGUUAUUAUUGAUGUAAGAUGUUGAUUGUAUUUUACAGUUUUCCAAAUUUGUUACUGAAUGGAACUGACACAGGCUUGCAGGUCCUAAAAGAAGCGAGUAGCACUUGAGUGAAACUUGGAGGUUGAAAUCUUCUUAUAUGAAAGAUUCUGCGCAGCAUCUUUCUUGUUACUUUGGUAGGAAAUCCUCGAAGAGGAAAUUCAAGGCUUUGCACUCCAUCAUUUAUGGGGUUUUCUUGUUUGCCUGAUCUUGAAGAUAUGCCAAAUCUUGGAACUGUCUAUGGUAUUCUGUAUAAUUGUGGUGGUGUCCUGCAUCAUAGUUCAAUGGUUUCAAGUCAGUUUGCAACCCUCCCAGAUGACUGAAAGGAAAGCAAAAAGCUGCAAAAACACGCCAAACUGUUUAUAAUAUAAGGAGAUAUUCUUUAUGGGAGAGGAUUAACAAGAUUAUUACAAUGCUGUGGGAGGAAGCUAACCAAGUAAUGAAAGAAGUUAAGCUGACCAACAAUGGAAGACAAUACCACCUGCUUUGUUCAGAAUUGCAAAAUUGACAGUGAUUGUUUAAGUCUUGCUUGGUUUCUGGUGCACACAUUAACGAUAACCUUUUUGCUGGCCAGUGGACACAUAUUGUGAUGGAUGUCAUUCUGAAAUUCUCUGGAUUUUCUUCCCUGGAAUUCGGAUUAUGUUGCUGAACUAUUUAAUUAGAUAUGUUAGAUGAAGGCUACUGCUAUAUAAUCUUUUACUGCCGGAUGUUUUCUGUGUUGUGAUUCAACGUAAUUACUAUCUAAUGUUGGUGAUGUUUGGUUUUCUAGGCAGCGAAAUGAUGUUGAUUGCUCUUUCUACUCUUGGACGCUGCUACUAUUUGGUUACUUGUUUUCUGUGUGAAACUCUGGUU